GUUCGUAGCAGACUUCCCAGUCUCGCAGGUGUCGAAACACACAGGCCAUGGCACUGUUCCCCGCUUGGUUAAUCGAUUGCUUGGCCCCGUUCUGCAGGAGAAAUCGCACUAGGUGCAACACAUCCCACUUGCUCCACUUGUCGUAGCCGUACCGGGCUUCCUCAAGGGCAUAGCGCACUAUCAGGGCGUGCAGUGGAGUGUUUCCCAACGAGUCUGGUGCGUUGAUUAGCUCUUUGCAUCCUCGUUCCAGCAGGAUGCGAAGAGUGGCCAACGUGUCUUCAGCAGACUUACGAGCAGCAAAAAUAACUGAAAAUAAUAGCCAUGGUUAUUACAACAUCUGCAUCAGAAUCUCUCUCUUCAGGGAAUACGAACUCACCCACAUGCAGUAGGGUCAUUUGUUGGGUGCAGGUGCGUACAGUUGUAAUUGCACCCUGAUGAAUGAGUAGCUCAAGAAAGCGACCAUCAUGAAGCACGGCAUGGUGAAUCGGGUAAUACUCGUCCAUAAUAAGAUUGAUUUCCUCCGAACGGGUGACCACUAGUUGCUGGACGCAAUUCCAGGCGCCGCGUUCGCAGGCCAAGUGGAGCAGGGGCUUUUUCACGCGGAAGGGGAUCCACGGCUCCUCCAUUUUUUGGGUGAGCAAGCUUAGAACAUUGUACUGAUCUCCGUCGAUUGCAUAGAAGAGCGCGUUCUGUAGCUUUGUGUUUAGCCGCUCGCUGACAUCGUCCACGUUGUUGUGCCAUUUGCCGCUCUCCUCGCAAUUUCUCGUGUGGGCGCCAGGAAAACACAUCCGAGUGUCCACGUCGAUACGUGCGCCAUGCCGAAGCAAUAACUCCACGCACUCCUCGUAGCCACGCAGGGUGGCGAUGUGCAGGGGCAGGGAGCAGGGCGAGCGGUUAACGUCCGGGCGGUGGCGAUGCAGCAGCCACUUAGUGAGAUCGAUGUGGUUGAGGCCGACGCUGCGCUGCAGGAUGUUGUAUCCAUAGUCGUCAUGCAUGGCCAGGAUAUUCUCGUUCUUUGGGAUCUGGAUGAGCAGGCUCUCGAGGGUCUGCAGGGAAACCUUCGGAUUGGCGCGCAGGAUGUCAAACAGUGUCUGUAUGGUCUCCUCGGUGGCCUUGGACAGCUUUCCGUCGCGAUGCGAGAGGAGUGCGGAUCCGGAUCGGAACACCUGGCUCACGGAGCCGCCCAUUGCUCUGGCUUCUCCCUUUACGGCCGUCUAACACUGCACAGUCAUGCUAGUAUCUCCUGCGACGCAGUUUCCGGGGAAGAUCGCUAGACGGCGAAGUGCGUAUCACUUCCGAAACCGUAAAAAUCAAUACGAGCCCUGAAGAACCGCCCAGAUCAGCACUGAACGACGGCUGGAAGGAGAAAGGCUGCUCCGAUGGCUUCAGUCACAGAAUCCCACAUCCCUGUGGCGCGUUUUCAGGCUAGAUUCAGCGCAUCCGGGCAUUUCAAAUUUACCACAAUCAAAAAAAAACUUUGGGAUUAAAUAAAGUAUAUUAUAGU
ensembl:ncRNA asRNA:CR44351 antisense RNA:CR44351